CCAGAGGGCACUGGCAUGUAGGAGAAGCGGAUUUACCACUAGUAGAUGUUAAUGAAAUUUCAGCUUCUAGGCCCCUAACUUGCAGGACCUGCCCAAGGCCCUGAACUUAAUUUUGUUUUCAUCAUUUGGUAUUUUUUUGUUAAAAGAGCCACCGACCACCUCCCCGCUACCCCAGAACUGCACGUGUUUCUGGCCCUACAAACCCAGAUCGUCCCUUGGAAUAUACACAGGGCAAUUUGUGUAGGAUCACACUGCGCUAAAAGUGAGGCAUGGUGGGCUAGGCGCACUGGCUCACACCUGUAAUCCCAGCACUUUGGGAGACCAAGACAGGAGGUCUUAAGUGAUUAAGCCCAGGAGUUCGAGAUCAGCUUAGACAACAUAGCAAGAUGCUGCCUCUACAAACACACACACCCCCUAUUAUAAUAUGUCAAAAAAAAAAAAAAAAAAAGGAAAAGUGAGGCAUAGAACUGACUUUAUUGUUUUGACUAGGAAAGAGCAAAGGGUUUGGAAUCAAAAGUCCCAACUUCCCCACCUUCUUAAUAGUGUGUGAAUCUGAGUGCCUUAUUAACCUUCCCUGGUCCCAGUUUCGUAUCUGUAAAGUUAGAAUAGCAAUCCUGUUUAAUUUGCUUCUCUCACCAGGGAUCAGAAGGCCAAAUGAGAUGAUGUAUGUAAAAUUGUAAAGUCCUCCACAGAUGGCACUUGCCACAUUACAGAGAACUUGAGACCCCCCCCCACCAAUAACGUUCCAAAUCUUCCACAUGCAGAUCUGGAGUCCAGGUGUCCUGGCUCCUGGCCCUGAACUUUUUGGCUGGGCCAAGGGGCUUUUCGGUAAAGUGCUUUGGAAUAAAACAGGAUGAACAU
rnacentral:lncRNA from 1 species